rnacentral:rRNA from 1 species
AACGAACGCUGGCGGCAUGCCUAACACAUGCAAGUCGAACGAGACCUUCGGGUCUAGUGGCGCACGGGUGCGUAACGCGUGGGAACCUGCCCUUAGGUUCGGAAUAACUCCCCGAAAGGGGUGCUAAUACCGGAUUAUGUCUUCGGACCAAAGAUUUAUCGCCUUUGGAUGGGCCCGCGUUGGAUCAGCUAGUUGGUAGGGUAAAAGCCUACUAAGGCGACGAUCCAUAGCUGGUCUGAGAGGAUGAUCAGCCACACUGGGACUGAGACACGGCCCAGACUCCUACGGGAGGCAGCAGUGGGGAAUAUUGGACAAUGGGCGAAAGCCUGAUCCAGCAAUGCCGCGUGAGUGAUGAAGGCCUUAGGGUUGUAAAGCUCUUUUACCCGGGAUGAUAAUGACAGUACCGGGAGAAUAAGCUCCGGCUAACUCCGUG